AUCUCACUCACAGACCUAGCUAGGGUCUGGCAACCAGAAAGUCAUACAGGCACAUUCAGGUCCCAAUCCUCUGGCUCCACCAUUCUGAAAUUUUCCCUUGACAACAACUUUACCCCUUCUUCCUGGGAUUAAUAACCUACUUUCUUCACAUUGGCAAGAGGAAGAAUCUUUUAUGUCUCAGGCAUCUUUCCUCUGCUUGUAUUAUGGAAAUAGAAGAGCAAGUCAGAUGUUAAAAGCUUUUGCAAUGUGAUGGAGAAAAAAGAGCUUAUUUCAACUGGACACAAGAAAGAGGUACUGGCCAAGGAGUCUGAAGACCAAGCAGUGACUUCUUCUAUAGGGUUAAAGGAUUAGCAAAAUGACGGGGGAGAGACCGGAUGACAGUGAACUCUAACUCUCGGGGUGCCUGGUGCUGGAGGCUGCCCCAUGUUCCUUACCUACCCUCCACUCUUAGAAAGGCACUGUCCUGGGGCUGGAGAGAUGGAUCAACGAUUAAGAGCACUGGUUGCUCUUGCAGAGGACCCAGGUUCAAAUCUCAGCAUCCACAUAGCAGCUAACAACCAUCCAUAACUCCAGUUCCAGGAAAUCUGAUGUCUUCUUCUGACCUCUGUGGACACUACAUGAUACAGAUACACAUAUAUACAUGCAGGCAAUACACAUACCAUAAAAUAAAAAUAAUAAAUAUUUUUAAAAAGAGAGACACUGUCCUAAGUUCUCCUGUCAUAACAAAUCCCAUCAGGAAGUGUGGUAUGGCAUAAAGAUAGGCUUUGGAAUCAGUUCCAGAACUUUCCACUCACUGCUUGAAUUGCCUUGCCCCAAAGUACAUGCUUUCUUUAUGGAAAAGCUGUACACAUUAAAUUAGUCAGGGUCAACCUCAUGUAUAUCAAUACAUGUAGCUUCCACUGCAACCACUAAGUAUGUGAUAAAGUUGAGAUAUUUGCUGGUAAUUAAUAAUCAAGGCUAACCUUGACUGAGGCCAGUGACCCAGGGUUCAAACAUCUGAGAAUGAUUGCCUCUGGUACAUUGGAAAAGGCCAUGCAACUUAGCCCUAAGUGUUAAUGCACAUUAUGCCCAGUGUAAUGGUGUCCCUGACUUUGGUAUUUACUACGCAAGGCCACAUUAUAGCCUUGAUAAAAAUAGCCCUGACUCUUAGCAUCUAUUUUAAGGCCCAGAACUGCUGAGAACCUGUCCUUCAGUAUUGGAACAGUAUCAUCCAAGUGAAGUAAAAGCUGGACUCUUAGAGAAUUUUGCCCUUUCCAAUUCCUAGAUCUAGACCAACACAGACAACCAUAAACAGAUGUUAUCCAUUGAAUCCCAUCUGUUUACAGCUGUGUCCCAGACUGCCUGUUUCCUCCAAGGGGCAGGGCCUGCUGUGGAAAAUUGACUGCAGAGGGACUUGUUGUGCCAUCUUGUGAUGGAAGCAGCAAGCCACAAUGAAUGCAUGGCUGUGGACGUGGAGAAAAAGAUGGCCCUGGUGUCUCACCUGCAUGGACUUGAGAGGGGGCAUUUACCGACCUGGGGCAAGACUGUGGGCCCAAGAUGCAUGGAGAAAAGUUAAUGGAGACUUUGGGCGGGCACAGAAGAGAUCUGGAAUAGUGGGCCAAGCCAUGCAGAGCUGGGUGCCAGGUGUGCAUUUCUAUGUAAGUCCCCUCAUUUACCCCCUCCCUACCCAAGGGCAUAAACCAUAAUAAAUUCACAUGAAAAGAUGUCAUAUGGUUUGUCUUGUCACACAAGAGACCCCGAGAGAACUCUGGUGACAACAGGACAAUGGGAUAAUCUUCAUAUCAUAUACUUCCAAUAUGUAAUUGCUUUUGCAAUGCUUCUGGUACUCCCCAUAUACACACACCCAUGCAUACAUCAUUCUAGGUCCAAGGCAAGGAAGAGUCAUGAGUGAUUAAGGUUAGAUGGCCAGGUCACAAGAGGAGUACAUGGUUCCAUGAGCUUGUUUACAUUGUAAGCAAGCUAAGAUUCACUUUUAGUUACAAGGUUGAGUAAAAGUCAUCUGUCCAGAAUACGUCCAUAAUGCAAAGUCCUCCCUACACCCAACUGCUCUUAAAGUUGUGUUUACAGUCCGCAUCCUUGAAGGAUGACAUAAUAAUGCUUCUCCCAAGACAAAGGGAAGGCAUGUCCUCAUUUGCUCUACAAGUCACGAGUCUUCCAAGCCUCCCUCUCCAAUAUGCCCCCCAUUGAGUGUGAGAACUCCCCAGCAUGCCAGUGGUACUGACCAUUCAUGAAAAGCAAGAUGACAGAAUGAACUGCUAGACUUGAGCACAUGGGUAUUUCUGGUGUCCUUGACAAAAUAAAUUCAUGAAAUAGAGAGAAAAGUCUUUGUGGCCAUAAAUGCAAGAGAAGAUGGAAAGGCAGGGAAUAGAAAUGUUGGAUACAAACUUUUUCAAUCCCUUUUUCCAGGAAGAUAAAUGAGACAAUGAGAAAUUACCUUCAUCCUUCUAAGAAACCUAUGUAGACUUUCAAGUAUAUGACCCCAUGCCCAUUAAGGAACAACUCAUGGAGAUCCUCUUCAUAUGUUAGCCUUCCUAUAAAGUAUUUAUUAUUUACAGUGGAAAACAAUGGCUUUGGCCAAAGCUGUCAUGCCCUCUUGUUUGGGUCACAGGCCAGUGUGAGAUAGAUACAGGGAGGCUAGAUGUUACCUGUGGUGGUUUAAAUGAGAAUGUCCCCCAUAGGCUCCAAGUAUUUGGACAUUUUGUUCCCAGUUGGUGGCACUGUUUUGGGAGAUCAUG